UGUAAAUUGUGAUUGUUGCAACGUUGUUAAAUGAUAAUUUUAUCAUCUUUCUGGUUUUAUUAGUUGGUUAUUCUGUGUUUUCAUACCGUCUCUGUAAUCCAAUGUGUGUUUGAUUGUGUUGAGUUGAAGUUGAUGAUAUAGUUAUAGACAAGUUAAAUACUAUGGUAGAUUUCCAGUAGCUUUGCUUUGGAACCCUCCAUCAGAUCCCUUUGAUUUGGUUAUUGGAAAAUGUAUGUUUAAGGGAAACUUUAUUGCUAGCUUUUCCAAUCCUGUGAUGUACAAUUUAGGAAUCACCAAAAUUGAAACCAUGAUUUCCAACUCUCUGGCUCAUAAUUUGAGUACUGCAAACUCAAAUGACUUUUUUUGUUGUUGAUGCUGGGAACUUGAAUAGCUUCAGAUGGAGUGCAAGAAUAACACUUGUGCUCACAACUUGGUGGAAUUGAAAUAAACACAUUAGUACUAGGAAGUUUGAAAUAAACACAUUAGUCCUCACUAGGUGCUCUAAGACUAGCCUGUUUUCCAUUCCCUUUCACCCUUAAGCCAAGCCAAGCUCAAUAAAAUCAGUGUCUUGUCUGUUGUUUAAUGCAUUCAGAUUAGGCAAAAUGGAAUUUUCAGCACUUGAAAUAUAGUGCAGAAUUGUCUUUAGGCCAAAGCUAUUUUGACUUCAUGUGCAUCCACUCAAAUCCAUUUGUCUUAACUAUUUCUGCAGAUAGAUCUAGAUUUAGGACAUUCAUAAUCACUUGUUUGAUCAAUCCAGCUUUGCUUCCAGUAUUUUCCAAACUGCUGCAGUUUUCAUUAAUUUUCAACAUAAUUUGGCAACUUUUAAGAGUGAUAUUGAGACUCUGUGUGCUUCUGUGGUGUUUGAAUGUUUGUGCACAUACAAUUGACCAUUUCAAACUUGUUCUUACUGUUCAAUUGGUCAAUUUUCAGUCCAUAUGCAAAAUCAUCAUUCCAAGCAUCACAUUUUGUUGAAAUUGGAAGUGAACUACUCAAUUUCUGCUGCUGCAUAUAUCCUUGUUGUUUGACAGUUUAAACACCUUCAAAUAAUGCAUACAAAGUUGCUCCAAUCAUCAAAUUAGGUGUCUAACCAUAGCUGUGAAAAAUUGCCUCUCAAGUCAUCCAUAGCAGUAGGUAGCGGUCCAGACUAGAACCCCUAGCAGCAAGUCAAGUCAUGCAUCAUCCAAUAGUUUUUUAUGCCUUUGCCUGCACUGCCACGGUAAUAGAGUACUGUUUUUUUGAGUCGAAUGCAAUCAUUGCCUUCUCCACCUAGUGAGUACAGUGGUUUGUCUAUGCUGGUUGCUUUCCAGAACCCAGACCCAGUCAGUCUAUUAUGCCUUAUGCUAUUCCUAUACUUCCUUUUGAUAAUAUUGAUUUCAGUAGCAAAAUCUGCAUAAAACAACAUUUCUGGAUUAAUUUGAUAUCAUGUGGUUUUCAUCCAGAUUUCAUGGUUUUCAAGCUUUGUCCAUUUUUGCCUAGUGAUUUCAACUGUGUCUAAAGUAAUUCCAACUCAAAUUCAUCACAGAAUAGUAUAAUUAGUGGUUGACUUUAUCACAAUCUAGUUUGAAAUUCUGCAGUAAAAUAUAAUUCUUGGUUCAUAUUGUGCAAAUUGUUUCUGACCAGAUUCUGUGUCUCUAAAUCUUGGUACAAGUGAAAACAAAUCAUAAACUCAACCAAAUACACCCCUGCAAUCCAGUUUUGAAAAGUCCAAAACCAGAAAAACCCAAAAAAACCAGAAAACCCCAAUUUUAUGUGCAGGUUUAUGUUUCCAAAUGUAAGGAUAUGACUAAAACAUUGUAAAAAAUCCAUAAAAAGCAAAACAAUAACCUAAAACUCAAAGUUUGAGUAUUUAGUACCUAAAAAGUGUACUUAUAAGGUGACAAAUUGUCAUUUCACCUAAUGUAGACUCAUUCUAAGGUAUGUGAACAUCCUAACAUGUCUAAACUAGUGGAAUGAAGCUAGGAAACUUGUCAAAAGCAAAGAAUUACCUAGCCAGCAAAGGUCAAAGUUGACAACAUGUUAUCUCACCCAAGUUGCUCAUCUCAUAAACAUUGUUUCUUUCCUCCAUCAUGGGGUGCCAAAACAUCACUUUCCUCCACUAAAACACCAGGACCAGCCUAAGACAAGAUCAAAAGUGCUUAAAACUCACUUCUUUUAACAAUGGUGACCCCUGUUCACCUGACUGAGUACCUGUGUUGGACUUUCUGUACAAAAUCCAAUUUUCUCUCGGGUAAUCGUUUACAGUGUCCUUGUAAUCGAUUACAGUGUCAAAGAAGGUGUAAAUUUGAUUUCUAAGGCAUAAUUUGAAAGGUCUUUGAGUAUAGAUUCCAACAAAACAAGAAUCAACUCAUUUGGAGUUCGGUGGAGAAAGUUAUGAGCAAAAGAACAAGCAAAGGUCAGAGUUGGCAAAAAUAUAUGAAACGCUAACUUGAAACAAUAAACUGUACCAACUCAAAUGUCCAAAAAUUACAAAUUAGUAGUCAUUGGAAAGAUUUUUGAGUCUAGUUUCUAAUAAAAAAAGAAUCACAUCAUUUGGAGGUCGGUGGGAAAAGUUAUCAGUAAAAUAGCCAGCAAAGGUCAAAGUUGACAGCAUGUUAUCUCACUCAAGUUGCUCAUCUCAUAAACAUUGUUUCUUUCCUCCAUCAUGGGGUGCCAAAACAUCACUUUCCUCCAUCAUUGGGACAUAAUCACAUCACUAACCUCCCUCUCCCACCACUGAAACACAAGGAACAACCUAAGACAAGUGCAAAAGUGCCUAAAAGUCACUUUUUUUUCAAUGGUGACCCCUGUUCACCUGACUGAGUACCUGUGUUGGACUUUCUGUACAAAUUCCAAUUUUCUCUCGGGUAAUCGUUUACAGGGUUGGUGUAAACGAUUACCAGACCCUUGACUGAGUACCCUCCAUUAUACUUUUUUUUUCAGCUUUUCGGUAAUUACCGAAGGCUUUUGGCCCUCGGUAAUUACCGAAGGCUUUUGGCCCUCGGUAAUUACCGAAGGCUUUUGGCCCUCGGUAAUUACCGAAGGUCAAAAGCCCUCGGUAAAUGUUAGCGACAAGCGAUUUAUCGAGGGCUCUUUGGCCGUCGAUAAGCCUUCGGUAAUUACCUUUUACCGACGGUUUUGGGCUGUUUCCGAGGGCUUCUGGCCUUCGGUAAUGCCCUUCUUUUUUGUAGUGGAUGAAGAAAAAGUUUAGACAAAACAAAAGUUAAUGCAAACGUUAACUAUAAGCUUUGGAACAAAAAAGAAUUGCAAUCUACAUGGAUGCACAACUUGUUUCAAUAUUAUAGCACAACCAAACCAUAUUAUUGCCAAGGAGACAAUGCUUGAUAUCAGAAACAAUAAAUAAUGAGGGAUACAACAUUUAAGAAUGCAAUACCAUACAUUAACCAUAGGCUAGUACAACCAAAGGAUAAAACUAAUAUCUGAAAAGGGCAUUAAUGAGUUAAACUAAUGAAUAAAUUUAAAUUUUCAAUUAAUGGUCCCAGCUAGUCAAUGUCAUAUCAGGAUGGGGUCUACAAAAUUUCAAUAAACCAAGCAUGCAAUAAGAUAUGGGUGUCAAAAUUGAAAGUAUACAUAAACUUAUGCAUGCUCCAUAAACUCCUUUGAGUAUACUUAAUAAAAGCAUAUUAAAAUAUUAAUAAAUAAUAUAAUAUUUAAAAAUUUUAAUUUCAAUAAAGAAAACCAGUAAACUAUAAUAUCCCGACACAACAAAUACAUUACAUUAAAAAAUUGAAGGAACAAAACUAGUGUAUUAUCUAGUUUAUUAAAAACAAAAUUAUUAGUAGUUACUAUAUUAUAUGUUAUUCUUCAAUUUUUUUACACAUUUAACACUUGCACUUGCACCUUUUAUUGUUGCAGGAGGACUACCAAUUUAUAAUAUCACUAUUAGGAAUAGGAUUCUUCACCUGAAUAUACCAUCCAUGACCAAGGGAUGCACCACAUAGAAUCUUUGUAGCUGUUGGCCUUUCCACAUCUGAUCCAUUUAAUGCAAUAUAGUAUAACUUCUCUAUCUCUACCAGGCUCGGACAAAAUAAGAUUAUGAAGAUCAAUCGUUAGCAGUUAAGAUAACACCAAAAUUAGAUCAAAUUUGACACAAGAAAUAAACCUUGAGGCAGGGGUUAUCGUUAGAGAACAAAGUAUUGUUUAAUGGUGUUCCUUCCAUAAACAUUGACCAUGGAGAUUUUUCUAGAGGUGAUGAAUCUGACAAAGACAAAACAGAUAUAGAGACAUAACCAGGACAGAAAUAUACUGACGUAUCCAUUAAAUUCCUAGUUAUGCAAGCCUCCACUAUGAGAUGUCUCAAGUUCCCACCUAAAAGAUAAUUCACAAGUAUCAUAGAUAUCAACAGAAAAAUACACAUGAAGAAUGUUGAAUACAUAUAUUGCAAGAUGGAAUCAAGGAAAUAAAAGAUCUAGUUCCAAAAAGUUAACCUGCUUUUGUAUUGGCAUUACCACGAAUUCUAGUGCUAGAUUCACCCUUUCCAUUCAUAGAAUUAUAAAUGAAGCUUGUAGCUUUUCUAGUUGCCUGAUUGGCUACAUCAAUAACUAAUGUAGGAGGGCAUAGGAGGCCAGAAAAGUUGCCAAGGACCUGAACAGAUCACUCAAUUUCUCACUAAACGUCACUUGAAAUCCCCAAUCAAACAGCAUACAAUCGAGUAGCGAAAUCACAAUCACGUAAAAGAAUAGCAUGAACACCUGCGCUAUCUCCAAAUCGCGCACCUUAUAGGUUUCUGAAAUCUGAAGCUUGGAGUCCACAAGAGAUUGUAAGAAAAAUAAAACGUUUACUACGUUUUAUUAUAAAACUGCCAAAAAUAUAUGCGGUUUUGAAAAAAAUCGCCAAAAUUACCUGAGGUUAUUAAAACCGUCUGAAAUAAACCUCUGUUAUAAUUAAUUAUUUUUGUAGUGAUUAUGGUCAAAAGAAAUAUAUUCACGCGUCUCAGUUGCUGUUUUGGUUUCCCUGUUGUUGGUAUUGUGAGUGCAAAUGUUUAUUUGUAAUUCUCCUGGUUCAAUUUUUUGAAAAUUAAGCUAGAGAAAUGACUAAAUUGUGAAUCCUACUAGUCCAGCCAUUUGUCACGCUGUUGUAGAAUUUUUCCUAGUGUUGGUAUAAUGUAUGGGUGCCUAAGACCUGUUUUAUGUGUUCAGGUGGUUAAAGUAAGUUAGUGGUAUAGUAAUAAGCCUCCAAACCUUACGGUUUUUGUCAAGCUGCACGAAGUUAGUAUGGGAUAGGGAGUUUACGUGACCUUAAUGGUAGAAAAUCCUUAUCGUCAAAAUUUGUAGAUACAGUUCUUGAAGUAAGAGUUCCCUAGAUUAAGUGUUUGUAGGUGUUGUUCUUUUUGCAUAUUGAAAGAAUUAUAUGGUUCACAUGAAGAUACAAAUUUGUGGCACAUCAUGAAUAGGGACACCAUUCAACCUUAGAACCAAAAGUAGCUUGCUCAUAAGGACUAGUGGUAGUUAUUAUGAGUUCUUCACCAUGAAAAAUUAUAGUCUUUGUUCAUUUACUAGUACAAAAAUGAUUUUUUAUACCUAUUAAAAAAGGCUUUUUAUACUUAUUUUUGGGUAGGUAUAUAGAAACAAGGGGUAUAGAAAGUUUAGGAUCUUUUAUACCUAUUCUUGAAUCGGUGUAGAAUGUUUUACUUUCCAUACCUGUGUUAUUCAUAAUAGGUAUAAAAGUUUUAUAUUUACACCGAGAAAAAAAAUUUCUUUUUAUACCUACUAGUGCUAUAAUAGGUGUAAAACAACAAGUCUUUUUAUACCUGAUGUGGCUUUGACUAGUGUAAAAAGUGACGUUUUUUUUAAAAUAUUUUAUUUGUAUGAACUACUAUCCAUAUUCAGACCUGCAUAAGAUUCAAUCCCAGAAUACAGUUUAAAUAAUCAAUAACAAGUAAAAUAAUCAAUAUUGUUUUCAUUAACACAUCAAAAUGUAAUAUUUACCUAACAUAGUUACUUAACAUAUUACACAUAUAAUAGUUCCUAAACUCAAAAUGUAAUAUUGAAACAUUCAAUCAUUUACAAAUGGUUAAAAGAAAUGCAGCCCAUUGCUUCCGAACAUCCUUUAUGACAUGUUGUUCCAUUCGAGACGUGUCAUCAAAUAUUUACACAAUGAAUAGUUUGAGUAAAGUUAUAAUAUUAAUUGCUUAAAAUCUUAGUUAUAAAAUGUUCACGUUACCAAUUUCCAUGAGUCAACGACAUUUGCGGAUAUAAUUUUCUGCAUGUGUCUCAUGACAUAAUAUCCGCACUCAAAGCUUCCCGGUUGACGUGAGCACUACAAGUUAAAUUUAUAAAGUAUCAUAAAAUUUAUAAUUGUAUUUAUAGUUUGAAAGAUUAACUACUUAUAGUUGGUGCAAUGAACUGCAACUUCUUUCUAGAGAUGAUAUGUGUUCCCUGCAACCUUGAAUAUGCCUCAACCACUCUAUAAAGUUAAAUGUACACUGAAAUGAGUCUUAAGGAACUUAGUAAAGUCAGAUAUGUCUACACUACAAAUAAAUUAUUAAAAACUUAUAAUAUUAGUGUAUUUUUAAUUGUCAAAGUGUGAGGUGUUUUGUGCAAUGAACAUAAGAGAACUACAAGAAAUUGUUGAGGAAGAAUUAGUAACAAUUGCCAGUGACCCCUGUAGAUUCAAAUAAUAAUAGUGUUAAAUAACAUUUACGUAAAUAAAAUUUUAUUAAUAAAAAUUAUAUACUUACUGUUGCAAACAAUAAUAGUGUUAAAUAACAUUUACGUAAAUAACUUCUACUUGAGAGUCACUUACACUUGGCAUGUCUAUUAAUUCACCAUGCCAUGUCCACUUUGUGUAGCUCUUUAGGAAUCCAUCACAUAGAACAUGCUCUCGAAUAACUUCAGUUGGUAGUUUUCGCUCAUUCAAACAAUUAACACACGGACAAUAGAAUCUUUCGUUAUUGUCUGGAACAUUCAUCUUUGCAAAUUCAAGAAAUUGUUCUACUCCACUCUCAUAUUCAUUUGUCGUACGUAUCAAAUUUAUCCAACUCCGAUCCAUUGUUAUCUGUGAAAGCAACCACCUUUACAACAGUCAAAAGUAUAAAUAUGACUUUUACAACAAGAGCAAGAGAAAUGAGAUUUUUUUAUUGGGAUGAGUUAUCCCAAAUGAUUUUUUCUUUGAAACUUUCUAGGUGGUAUGGUGGCUGGUGGUAUUACUAUUCUCUUGUUAUUUUCUCUUUCCAUCACACAAGAGUUCAAGCUAAUUAACUUUUAUCAAUUUCCUUUCACUAGUACAAUAAUUGCUUUUUAACUCACACAAUAUACAUCAUUUCACACCAAACCGCUGUCUAUCAAACCACGGUGGCAAAAGUGAAAUUAAGAGAACCUUAUAGACCUCGGUUGCAUGCAAGACUGAAGUAGAAAAAUGCUACGACCUCGGUUGCAGGAAGAACCGGUGCCUAAAACCCACCUACCAGCCAGGCUUUCAGACUGACAACUUUUUAAAAAAUUGAUACUACCUCGGUUACAUGCAUAACCGAGGCAUAAACCCUCUGCCACACCUGAACACCCACUGAACACUCUUUUUUACGGCAUCCGGUCCCUCUUAGACCCUGUGUCAAAAGGUAAUUCGACCUUGUUUUGACCGAGGCCUAUAAGCCUUCUUGGGCUUCGACCCUGCGAAAGCUUUUCCCCAAAUGCCUAAAGCCAGUAAAACCUAGCAUCUCUCCCAUUUUUCUCUACGCUUCAGUUGCUGCUUGCACUGCCUGCCCCUCGCUCUUUGCGCUGCUUGCCCCGUCGCCGCCGGGAGCCACCACCACCUCGUCGUAUGCUAUGCCUGCGAGCGCGGCUUCCACCUCGCCUGCCAGUGCGUGGAAAAUCUCAGAUCUAUAGAUGGGUGGAGCAAGCGGUGGUUGUUGGCGGAGAAGUAUCUCAGAUCCAUCCUCCAUCCCCAACGUCUCCGAAGCCAUAGCCUCACUCAGCUCUACCCCAAAAGCCAACUCCCCGAGAGAGAAACGUCGUUGCUCCUUUGCGCCACGUCUUCGCCGAGGCCAAUCGUCGGAGCCGCCGUUGCUCACGUUGGAGGAAGUCACGCCGUGUAGGUGAAGAAGGAGCAGAGCACAUUUCUGGAUAUGGCUUUUUUUUAUUUUUGGCGUUCUGGCAGGUUUUGUUAAGAGGAAUUGAAGGAGAAAGUUUUCCUCUCUGUAGUGUAGGUUCCGUGUAAUGUAGGUUGAAGGGAUGAACUUGCUUGGAGGAAAAACUGUGUUUUUUUUUCUUUUUAUGUUAUAUGAUUAUGAUAUGUUAUGAAAGGAACAAAUAUGAUUCUAGCUUGGUGUGAGCUUUAUUAUUUCUAUGAUAUUUUCCCUCUUUUGCUGGUUGUGGGAUUGAAGAUUGAGUUCAGAUUUCCUCUCUUUAAAGUUUAUUACAAUAAGCAGAUGUUGAACACCUUCAUCGAAGGUGAUCUAUGUUCAUGGAAGGUGAUGUGUUCAUGACCUUAAAAAUGUAUAUUAUCGAUUCUAGCAUAAAGAUUGAGAAAAAAAAAGGAACCUUUCUACUGCUUCGGUUCACCAGAACCCGAGACCAAAAGUCUGGCAAAAGAAAAAUAAUACGUUAUACCGCCUCGGUUUCAUUUUAACCAAAACAAAAGCAUAUAUCUUUAUACCUCGGUUCAGAACCGAGACCACAAAUGGUAGGCUUUUUACUUCGCCUUUAUAUACCUUGGUUGUAAAAUCGGUACGAAUAAGCCAAAACAAUCGCUGCAAUAUCCUUAGUGCACUAGUGUUUAUCACCACAUCAUAAUAACGAACAGGUAAUCUAAUAAAAUAGUAAAAUUUCAUUAGAAAUUUAUGAAAAAAAAAA